GUCUAUUUCUAGGAGGAAGAGCACACUACAGCAGGACAACAGAGGCAGCGGGAAAGAGGCGGGAGAAUUUUCUAUCCGCUUUCAAAUCACUGCAGUGGGGAAUUGUUGUUGAAGGAUUUACUAGUUUGUGUAACCUCAAAUGGCACUUCAGAGAUUUACUUGAAUUGAUCUCUGGCAGCAGAUGGUAAUGAAUGUACCGGAGGACUAUUGAUUCAACAUUUCGGAUGGACUUGGUCAUCUUUCACUUGCCUUCAGCUUUAAUCAUUCCCAAAAAGUGAUUUAAUCAUUUCUCUGACAAGAUAUCUUCUCCCCCAUUACCGACCAAGAUAAGAAGUCGGCUUAUUAGUCUUCAUUACUUAGAUCAGCAUUUUAUUAAAUAACAAGGCUAUGAAUUUUACGGAAUUAACUGUGCAUAUGAUUACUUGGAAAAAUG